rnacentral:rRNA from 1 species
UACGUAGGUGGCAAGCGUUAUCCGGAAUUAUUGGGCGUAAAGCGCGCGUAGGCGGCAAGAUUAGUCUGAUGUGAAAGCCCCCGGCUCAACCGUGGAGGGUCAUUGGAAACUGGGAAACUUGAGUGCAGAAGAGGAAAGUGGAAUUCCAUGUGUAGCGGUGAAAUGCGCAGAGAUAUGGAGGAACACCAGUGGCGAAGGCGACUUUCUGGUCUGUAACUGACGCUGAUGUGCGAAAGCGUGGGGAUCAAACAGG